rnacentral:rRNA from 1 species
UAUAUUAAAGUUGUUGCGGUUAAAAAGCUCGUAGUUGGAUCUCAGUUCCGUGCCGACGGUGCGCCUCUGGCGACUUACUGUCGGUGCGAACAGCUAUGGUCGGCUCGCACGGGGUUCCCUUCACCGGGUGUCUCGCGUGGCCGGCAAGUUUACUUUGAAAAAAUUAGAGUGCUCAAAGCAGGCCUUCGCCUGAAUAGUUGUGCAUGGAAUAAUGGAAUAGGACCUCGGUUCUAUUUUGUUGGUUUUAAGAACCCGAGGUAAUGAUUAAUAGAGACGGACGGGGGCAUUCGUAUUGCAACGCUAGAGGUGAAAUUCUUGGACCGUUGCAAGACGUACUACUGCGAAAGCAUUUGCCAAGAACGUUCUCAUUAAUCAAGAACGAAAGUUAGAGGUUCGAAGGCGAUCAGAUACCGCCCUAGUUCUAACCAUAAACAAUGCUGACCAGUAAUCCGCCUUUGUUAAUCCCAUGACUAGGCGGGCGACUUCCGGGAAACCAAAGUCUUUGAGUUCCGGGGGAAGUAUGGUUGCAAAGCUGAAACUUAAAGGAAUUGACGGAAGGGCACCACCAGGAGUGGAGCCUGCGGCUUAAUUUGACUCAACACGGGAAACCUCACCAGGCCCGGACACUGGAAGGAUUGACAGAUUGAGAGCUCUUUCUUGAUUCAGUGGGUGGUGGUGCAUGGCCGUUCUUAGUUGGUGGAGCGAUUUGUCUGGUUUAUUCCGUUAACGAACGAGACUCUAGCCUGCUAAAUAGUCGUCGAGUCCACUUAACAAGUGCUCGGCGUAGCUUCUUAGAGGGAUAAGCGGCGUCUAGCCGC